CUACUGUGACUACAAGACUUACUCCCCAAAGAAUCUAAGCCAUCGCACUCCAUCAAGUAUUUACUGCACACCUAGGAUGUAUUCAAUACCAUAGCAUAUACAGAGAUCUCAGACCUAGUCCAAUGGCUCCCCAAAGCUUCCAAACUAGUCAGGGACUAAGACUAAGAAUAUAAAACAGGGCUUCCCUGUGGCGCAGUGGUUGAGAGUCCACCUGCCGAUGCAGGGGACACGGGUUCGUGCCCCGGUCCGGGAGGAUCCCACAUGCCGUGGAGCUGCUGGGCCCGUGAGCCAUGGCCGAUGAGCCUGCGCGUCCGGAGCCUAUGCUCCGCAACGAGAGAGGCCACAAGAGUGAGAGGCCCACGUACCGCAAAAAAAAAAAAAGAAAACAAAAUUAUGUUUAAGGCAAAGAUAACCAGCCUCGAUUUUGCCAUAUUCCAAAGGUCUAAUUUGAAACUAGAUACUUGCCAGUUCAUUAUUUGUAUAUAUAGUUAAACACUGAUAAUGAUAUUUCAUACUGUUAUUUUAAUGGCAUAAGGACUUGCAUUUGUUGCAUCAAGGUGGGGGUCAGGCUGGUGAUCAGGGAGCCUCUGUAGAGUACCAAAUCAUUAUGCCGAAAGACGUGUGUAACCAUGCCAUUGAUAUUUGCAAGAUUCUUCUCAUAUUACAAUUGCUUUGCAAGCAAUUUUCACAUGUUUAUGGGUGUAACAAAAGCUAAAUGUAAAUGUUGCUGCCUUCAGCUAUAACUAACAACAUUCCAGUAAACCUAUUUUUGACUGUAUAAGGGAAUGUAGUAAUUUUUUGGCAUUUGGAUUAUAGAAAUGGGAAAUUUAAACAGUGUGAAAAGCAUAGUAUGGUGUCAUAAAACUGGAAAUAAUAAAAUUAUUGGAGAGUGUCAUUGGAGUAUUUGAAAGUGACCAACAUAAAGCUAGAAGUCAUGGUCUGGUCUGUUUUCAGUUAGCCUCCAAUAAGGAGGACCAGUGCAAAUGUGAGUAAAUGAAAUCCACAGGUAUCUUGUCCCCUACUUUUCUUUUUGUUAAUAGCUUUCCUGUUUAACUUCAACUAGCCCUUUUACCAGAAGUGCUAAAAGUAGCAAAAUCAUCUGCUUAGAAUUUGCGUUUUUUGUAUUCCCUCUUUAUCUCCUGGAAAAUGCAUGUGAUAUGUACAAUCCAGUGUCACAUUAGCCAACAAUAAUGAAUAUAAAAAGUCAGGAGCCUAGCUAAUCAGUCAGUCGGAGUAACCAAAUGCUAGAGUCACCAUUGAUCUCAGUCUGUUUUUAUGAUAAAAAGUGUUGUUAAAAAAAAAAAAAAAAAAAAAAGUGUUGUUAACUUUAAAAUAUGCCACCCUUCUUGGGUUGUUUAAACAUGUGAAAGUGAACAUACAUAGUUCUCUAAUGUGUGUGAGGAAGAAGUUUUAUAAUAAAAUUGGAGGUUCUGCAGAAACUUGUGUACAUGGACAUCUUCACAAUGUAUAUAUAACUCUAAAUUUGAAAUAGGGAUAAUAGAAAGUACCAGUAUUUAAGUAAGAAAAAAAAUUAUCCUUAUUGCUUUGGUAAUUUUAAUUCAAAAUGUAUGAAACAUAGAAUCUUUGUUUUUUUGGUUUUUUUUUAAAUUCCACAGGAUUAGUACUAAGAUGCAAAAAUGUUCUCUUUAGAAUGGAAAGAAUUUGAAGGGAGAAAGCAGAUUAAGAGGUAUUGAAGACACCUUCAAGUCAUGAAGAUCUAAAUAUAAUCGCUUAGUAUUAUAGUCUGCUAAGAACAUUUAAAAAGAGAUAAAGGUUUUACAUUCUCUGGAGUGUUUUCUCUGGUCUCUCCACUUUUCGUAAAUGUCAAUUACUGUAAAUAACAUAAUAAAUAAUAAACCCUUUGACAAAAGAGGAUACCCAGGAAAAUGAGCAUUUUUAGAAUUUCAGUAGCUAAUGUACUUCAGGAAUGGGAGUGUUUUAACUGAGUGGACAGAAUCAGUACUAACAUGUGUGUCCUUGAUUUGGGAUUGGAACUAGACUCACCAGUGGUUAAUUUUCCAUUUGUUGGUAUAGAAAUCUGGUUUCUUCAUAUCUGUCGGUGAAGAGGAAGAUUAUUUCUCAAGAAGAAUCCACAUUUCCAGUGUUUCUUUAAUAAAGUAUGCUUUUAAAUAAAGAAAUAAAAUUAAAAAAAUUUUUAACCAUGAAAAAUAAAGGAAAUAUUUAUAUGACAA